AGCAUCCUCGUGGUGUUUCCAGUGGCGGACGGGUGAGUAACGCGUAAGAACUUGGCCCUUGGAGGGGGACAACAACUGGAAACGGCUGCUAAUACCCCGUAAGCUGAGGAGCAAAAGGAGGGAUCGCCAAGGAGGGGCUUGCGUCUGAUUAGCUGGUUGGUGAGGCAAUGGCUUACCAAGGCGACGAUCAGUAGCUGGUCUGAGAGGAUGAUCAGCCACACUGGGACUGAGACACGGCCCAA
rnacentral:rRNA from 1 species